rnacentral:lncRNA from 1 species
AAAUACCAAAAGCUGUCCUCAUUGAGUCAUCCCUCCCAGAGCAGGAAGAGCAGAGAUAAAACAGCAUGUAAGCAUCUCUGCAGUUGCUGUCCCCAGAGCCCACUUCCUGGAUAUUGCCAGCUGCCUGGACCAACCUUUCCGAAAGAUCAGCCAGGUCACAGUGAGGGUCAAAGGUGAGGCAACACCCGGCCUGCUUCAGCUUGCCCCCCGUGGGCUGCACCCACUGUCCAACCAGUCCCAAUGAGAUGAACCAGGUACCAGCGAAGAGGGCAAGAACACAGCACUACUUCCUUGGAUACUGUUUCCCUCCUCAGAGGGGUUUUCUGAGCUGCCCUGGGUCCUGUGAGGAAGACCCUGACAUGAGGACUGGGGGCACGUGUUUAUUAAGGGCGAUCCCCGGAAGGAGGAGAUAACCAGGCAGAAGUCCUAGCAGAGUAUGCCCACGCUGGUUAGUGCUGCUGCAAAGAUGAGCCGAAGACCAUGAGAGACCUCCAGGUGGUCCUUCUGGGGAGAAGAAAUGGGUUUUGGCCCCAAAUCCUUCUGCUGCAUUUUUCCCCUAUCCCUGGGAAGCCAUGAGACCUCAAACCUGUGUUCCCAAGGAGGCGAGCUGCUGUUCCCAGGUGAUGAUAUGAUGUGCUUGGGGAAAGUAAGUGGCUGCCAGACAUGGCUGAGAGCUGUUGUCACUGCCGUCAAGUGCAUGUCUCCAAGCCAUAUCACACGGCGUCCCUCGAUGUGAGGCCACAUGGCAAGUGGGCCGUGGAUCUCCCUCUGCCCUUUGCAAGCACGUAAGACAGCAGAUUUUGCAGAUACCUUGUGGCGCAGGGGAAUUUCCUUUGGCCAGGUCUGAAGAAAUAAAGCAGCAGGCACCGAGAACAAAGCCAAGGCUUUCAAAAGACAAGGAGCCAAAAAACUUACUCAAAAUAAAAGUAGUUUUAAAA